AGCGAACGCUGGCGGCAGGCCUAACACAUGCAAGUCGAACGGACCCUUCGGGGUUAGUGGCGGACGGGUGAGUAACACGUGGGAACGUGCCUUUAGGUUCGGAAUAGCUCCUGGAAACGGGUGGUAAUGCCGAAUGUGCCCUUCGGGGGAAAGAUUUAUCGCCUUUAGAGCGGCCCGCGUCUGAUUAGCUAGUUGGGGAGGUAAUGGCCCACCAAGGCGACGAUCAGUAGCUGGUCUGAGAGGAUGACCAGCCACAUUGGGACUGAGACACGGCCCAAACUCCUACGGGAGGCAGCAGUGGGGAAUCUUGCGCAAUGGGCGAAAGCCUGACGCAGCCAUGCCGCGUGGAUGAUGAAGGUCUUAGGAUUGUAAAAUCCUUUCACCGGUGAAGAUAAUGACUGUAGCCGGAGAAGAAGCCCCGGCUAACUUCGUGCCAGCCGCCGCCGUAA
rnacentral:rRNA from 1 species